rnacentral:antisense_RNA from 1 species
UUCUAUGGCGGGCCGGACGAGGCAGCCGCAAGGCUGACCGGCGAUAGCUGUGGCACCGGUUUUCCAUCCUCGUCGUCAGGCCCGCCACCCCU